AGGAAGAAAUUACUAUAUUUUAAAAUAAUUCAGUUGAACUAAGAAAGAAACGAAGAUAAUUUUUUAGUAACAGUUUUAAAAUUUCUUAAAAAUAAUUAAAUCUGUAGAAGAAGAUCAUUACCUUGAGAAAUUGAAAAAUGUAUUAUUGAAAACAAAAUGCUCUGUAACUUCGAUCUUCGAGCGAUUGAGAAUUCCAAUAGCCGAUGGUCAGACCUACUUCUACUACUUGAACCAUAAUGUAAUGUGACGGCUGUCUACCCAUGGGUAGGAACAAUCUACUGACGUUCCUCUGGCAAUUCUGGCAUGCAUGAGUUACACAAUAUAGGAAUAAGGAUGUAUUUCUGACAAAGUUUAACUUCUGCAAAUAUUACUAGUGAUAGGAUACAUAUAAUAAAGUUUUAUAAUCAGGAUUAAACAAAUACUUGCAACGGAAUGCAAUCCGUAGAGAAAGGAAAAGGAGGACUCGUUUACAAUUCCAAUAAAUAUUAACUUGGUUGCAGCAAUAACAAUACUGUUUAAUGUACCACAGAGAGCCCUUCCUGUUCCCUUAGUUCCACCAAGUGAUUUCAGCGUUGACUUACACGUUUAUCUCCCUUUGAAAUGCUUGUGAAAGUAUUUUAAAAAAUUUGUCACUGUUACAACAUAUUUAGUAAGUGCAAAUUUUAGUGACUUUAUAAAAAUGAAUUUUAGUAAUCUUUUAAAACAUUUUUUUUUGUAGAGUACAAUAUAAUUUUUUAGAUUAAUUAUCUAGACCAAAUUUAGUGAACUAAUAUUAUUAAUGAAAUUUUACAAGUCACAAAUUAUUAAAAACAAUUACGAUAAGUAUACAUGUAUAAUAGAUAAAAGUUUGAUAAUAAAACAAAGAAAGUUUUACAAACUUGAAAAUCAUUUGAUUGUACUAUUUUGUGCCCUAUCAUUUGUUAUAUUAUUUAUUCAAAAUUGCUCUAUAACUAGUCACUUGUCAAUUCACUAAUAUUAUUAAUUAAACAUGAAUAAUGUUAGAUGAAUAAUUAAGAUAAAUGAGUAAACAAUUUAUACUAGUUUUAUAAAUUAUUUUGUAUUAUCAUAUAAUAAUUAAAAGAUUUUUAAAAAAUUGUAAUAACCAAAAUUAAAUUCAAGUUUAUUCAACAACCGUAAGAAUAUAUUUGCCGGGGAUAGUCUUCUUCAGUGACCUUGAAUAGCUACCUAGGUACUUCUCAACAAACUACAUACAAUCUAAAACCUCGUGAUCAAAAAUGCUUUCAAGACCGCUUAUUAUUAACCUCAACACUAUAACAAUAACCACGACAAUAAAUGCAACGACAAAUAGGAAUGAUUACGUCUUUCAGAUACCAUUCCAGAUAUUGUCUACCAAGCUCCAUACAAUUUACCCUAUACAUAAGAGGAACCUUUUAAACAAUCGAUACAAAGAGAUUUUAUCGUUCACAAGGUAGAAUCAAUGAUAAACCCAAACAACGAUGAAAAUGUAUGAUCUAAUUAGGGACGAAGCGGCGGUGGAAAAGGCCUUGGAUACUAGACAAUAUCAAGGCCAUUUUGGCCAAGAGCAACGCCUUGCCACCGAGAACCGCGAGGAACUGGAAACCCAUGGGUAUCAAGAUCGAACCCAUCAGGAGGAAGCCCAUCAUCAUCAGCGGCACCAUGUGG